GCAAGAAUGAAACUCAAAGGAAUUGACGGGGGCCCGCACAAGCGGAGGAACAUGUGGUUUAAUUCGAUGAUACGCGAGGAACCUUACCUGGACUUAAAUGUAGCGUGACCGUACUCGAAAGGGUAUUUCUCUUCGGAGCAGGUUACAAGGUGCUGCAUGGCUGUCGUCAGCUCGUGCCGUGAGGUGUCGGGUUAAGUCCCAUAACGAGCGCAACCCCUAUUGUUAGUUGCUAACAGGUCAAGCUGAGGACUCUAGCGAGACUGCCACCGUAAGGUGAGAGGAAGGUGGGGAUGACGUCAAGUCAGCACGGCCCUUACGUCCAGGGCUACACACGUGUUACAAUGGUCGGUACAGAGAGCAGCUACUUGGUGACAAGAUGCGAAUCUUUUAAAGCCGGUCUUAGUUCGGAUCGAAGUCUGCAACUCGACUUCGUGAAGUUGGAUUCGCUAGUAAUCGCAUAUCAGCCAUGAUGCGGUGAAUACGUUCCCGGGCCUUGUACACACCGCCCGUCAAGCCAUGGAAGCUGGGGGUACCUGAAGUCCGUAACCGCAAGGAUCGGCCUAGGGUAAAACUGGUAACUGGGGCUAAGUCGUAACAAGGUA
rnacentral:rRNA from 1 species